UGCUGAUCCUGCGCCGCUGCACUGAAUGUCAGAGACCUCGUAAUCCUGGGCAACGGUGGCGGCAACCUGAAACAAUACGACAGUCAUUCAUCUACACAGGUUUGCUCGAACGACAUUCGUGACCUCCUGGUUCACUGAUUUUUCAUCAAUAAUCUUGAAUGGACGACGAUAUGAAACGAGCGGAUUUACGAAAAAUUCGCGGCGAAAUUGGAAAAACGUGAUCCAAAUGCAGCCGCGUAAUUAACGAUUUCAAGUCGGGCUAAUAAAUUACCUUGGAUCAUCUGUGUCAACUGCAUGCAUAUUAAAUAUGCAGGAUAUUAAAACUACAUAGAAUUAUAAAUAAUUCAUAGAUUUUUCGCGUAGUUACCUUAAUUAGUAAUUAAAAUGUCACAUGGAUGUAAACACUACGGAGAUAAUCAAUUUCGAUGUUGUCACAGACAUUGUGUUUUUUAUCCGUUGGCUGGAAAAAACAAGAUACUGAACUUGUUGCGCAAGUGUUUUAACAUAGGAAAUUACUUAGUCCCUUUAAUCUAAACUGUUUUAUGAUGCUCGAAAGAAAUAAAAACAUGUCGAUACCAGACUUAUCAUUAUAAUAUGAAAUAUAUUACUUCUGUGUUCUGUAAGAUCUAGAGGCACAUUUAUAUUGGUGUAUGUGUCAAUAUGAUAUCUAUCAUAUUAUUGAUAGCUUUCUUAUGUUGUAUAUUACUUUUAAGAGAGAUUUUGGAUUUUCCGUCCUUUGCAAAUUUAUCCCGGGGUGAGAAGAUUCGAACUCGCGACGGCGUUGUCCUCCUGAGUCGCAAGCUUUAACAAGCGUAGCUGGCUGCCCCGCCGAUAGCUUUCUUAUGUACUUAUAUAAACAAAAGAACUGGUAGGAUCUAUGUAGUUAGUUAACGUACUAACAAUAUUAGUAAUUUAGCUUAUAACUGUAAUGUGCAAUGGAAUCUAAUGUUACUGGUUGGUAAGUUAUUGUACAUCGAACUAUUGGUGAAUCUUAUUCCAAUUAUACGAACGCUUGCAAUUUUGCGUACGUUAGUAAGCAAAAGAAUGGGUAACAUACGUUCGAAUACAGUUAUUCGAACAUGCUCUCCGGUUAUUUCAGUGACAAAUUAUAGAUAGUGAAGAAAAUCAGCGAUCUCCUGUUAUAAGAUGUCCAGUUAUCCAAAUCGUUUCCUCAGGUAUAAGUAGAAUUAAGUAAAAAUAACGACAAGUAGAAUCCUACUGUCUACUAUCCAUGUACAUAAUUCUACUUAACAUAAUUCUACUACGAAAGUUUGAAACAUAUUGGAAUUCCAAAAGAAAUAAUGACUUCCUCAAGAGUAAAAGAUAGUGCAAACUUCUGAGCAGACAAAAACGAAAAGAUCCGAUCGUUUAACGAAAUUUUAAAUCCAUGGUCGAAAGAAGUUACUAAUUUAGAAAUCGAUACGGUUAAAGAGUUAAUAAGCAUUGAGCCAUUACUUGGCCGAUAUGGCGUGCGUCGAAACUGUUAUUGUAACAGCACUUUAAUCGGACACGGGUGAAGCAAACGACGCUGAAACACAAAGUUUUCGAUGGAAUUGGAACGUCCGACGAUGAUUUCCGAAUCGUUAAACGGAAACUAUUCGCAUUAAAGAAGAAACCGACCGGUUGGAAGGGAAAAAUAAGAGGACCCCAGUUACUGCGUGGUCGUGACAGUCGAGGUAUCCAAUUUGUGGAGUUAAUAGAAGUUUGAUCAAGCCUUGUUUCAAAUUGAAUGCCAAACUAUGGAUUGCUGCCGGUCGAUAGGACUUUUAUCGAAACGUUAAUGUUUUUUCGAUCGAUCGUCCGACACCGGUCGGGUCUCGUUCGAUGAACGAACGCGAUCCUGUUCUCUGUAUCACGAAAUUCAAUUGAAACUGCGAAUAAUAAUACUACCAAUUGUAAUAAUAAUGGCAAACUCGACGGCGGUAAUAGGAACGCUGUAUCGCUGCGUUUCUGUUUAUUUCGCAUAAAUCGCCGCUUAUCGAAAUUGGAACGUAACAUUUCACUUUUUUAUCAUACUGUAAGGUACUUUCCACUACUAUCGUAUACGUAUAGCCUUCUCAAUUUUUUCAUAUUUCAGGGGCUUAUAGAUAAAGCGUGAUACGAGUGAAAAUGAUUUGAAUUUGAAAAAAUUGUGAUCAAGUAGACUACGGAUUUCUGUGCAUUUAUACGAAAUUUCAAGAAAUGGAAAAAUAAAGAAUUGUAAAAAUAGAAUAUGGUAGAAUACAUACAAAAGGGAAAAAUACAUCAAAUUUCCAAGAUAGUGUAUUUGCCGUUAUUUUUUUUAUAGAUGUUAUAAAUCUCUAUUCAGAUUCUAUUUCUUUCCUUGUACUGGCAAAAAUGUAAAUUUGCAUAAUAAUCCGCAGUCCAAUACAUAAUUAGAUUUCAUCGAUAUCGAUAAAUGAUUAAUAAAUGUUAUAAUAUCUCAGAUGUAAUUGUUAAAUUUGUUGCAGGUAUGUCGUAGAUACCGUGUCGUUAAAUUAAAGGUAAAUUAACAGAGCAGUGGUGAGUGAUACACGCGUGGAAGAAUUUACGUAAAGUGUUACAUGCGCGUGUGCGCGGUACGCUCCGAUUCGAUUGAUGCGCGGAAGGUUAACGGGAAGAGACAAACAGCCGAAUCUGUUACGUGAAACGGGCCCUCGUGUGCGCCUGGUUCCCUCGAGAUUACUUCCUAGAUAACUAUAUACACGUACAUUUCUUCGUUUUAUUCUUUUUUACGAAAGAACCGCACCCGUCUCUUUUAUGGCGCCGUAAAUUCCUUAUUUCUCACUGGCGCUUUUGGCAGGAUGACAUGAAUUUGUCUCCGCAUAUGGGAUACCAUACAAGUUAAUAACUUCCUGAAUAGCCUGUUGAUGAAGAAAUCUUGAAUUUACUAAUGAUCGAACGUUGAGACUUUGGAAUGGUAUAAAUUAACGAAAUCUGAUUUGGAAAGAUUUAUAUCUGAUUAUCGGAUAGUUUAUUUAUUAUAUACUUUUGUAUCGAUAUACAUAAUGUUGGUAUACUGGUCUACUUAGAUUUUAUACUCCUGCGAUUAAUUUAUUGCACGUCAUAAAUUAUAGUUUUUUAUAUUAUAUAUAAUGUCUUUUACAUUGUUUUAACCCUAAACUCUAAAUAUACAAAAUACGUGUUAAUGUAAAUAGACUGUCUUACUAAAAAUAUA